CCUACGGGUGGCAGCAGUGAGGAAUAUUGGUCAAUGGCGGCAACUCUGAACCAGCCAAGUAGCGUGCAGGAUGACGGACCUAUGGUUUGUAAACUGCUUUUAUGGGGGAAUAAACUUAUCCACGUGUGGCUAUUUGCAUGUACCCUAUGAAUAAGGAUCGGCUAAUUCCGUGCCAGCAGCCGCGGUAAUACGGAGGAUCCGAGCGUUAUCCGGAUUUAUUGGGUUUAAAGGGUGCGUAGGUUGUCUUUUAAGUGUGCGGUGAAAGGUUGUGGCUCAACCAUGAAAUUGCCGUGGAAACUGGAAGACUUGAGUGUGUCGGAGGUAGGCGGAAUGCGUGGUGUAGCGGUGAAAUGCAUAGAUAUCACGAAGAACUCCGAUUGCGAAGGCAGCUUACUAUGCCAUAACUGACACUGAAGCACGAAGGCGUGGGUAUCAAACAGGAUUAGAUACCCGUGUAGUC
rnacentral:rRNA from 1 species